AGAGUUUGAUCCUGGCUCAGAAUAAACGCUGGCGGCGUGCCUAACACAUGCAAGUCGAGCGAGAAAGUUUCUUCGGAAAUGAGUACAGCGGCGGACGGGUGAGCAACGCGUGAGAACCUUCCCUUUAGUGAAGAAUACCUCCGAGAAAUCGGAGACAAUACUGCAUACGUCCCUUCGGGGAGAAAGGUGGCUUUAUGCUGCCGCUAAAGGAUGGGCUUGCGUACUAUUAGCUAGUUGGUAGGGUAAAGGCCUACCAAGGCAAUGAUGGUUAACCGGCCUGAGAGGGUGUACGGUCACACUGGAACUGAGACACGGUCCAGACUCCUACGGGAGGCAGCAGUGGGGAAUAUUGCGCAAUGGGCGAAAGCCUGACGCAGCGACGCCGCGUGGAGGAUGAAGGUCUUAGGAUUGUAAACUUCUGUUAAGCGGGAAGAAAUCUCAUUUUUUAAUAGAAGAUGAGGAUGACGGUACCGCUAGAGAAAGCACUGGCUAACUUCGUGCCAGCAGCCGCGGUAAUACGAAGGGUGCAAGCGUUAUUCGGAAUGACUGGGCGUAAAGGGUGUGUAGGCGGUAUGUUAAGCUUGCUGUUAAAUUCUCCGGCCUAACUGGAGACAUGCAGUGAGAGCUGGCGUGCUUGAGGAUGAGAGAGAGAAGUGGAAUUUCCGGAGUAGCGGUAAAAUGCGUAGAUCUCGGAAGGAACACCGAUGGCGAAGGCAGCUUCUUGGCUCAUAUCUGACGCUGAAACACGAAAGCGUGGGGAGCAAACAGGAUUAGAUACCCUGGUAGUCCACGCUGUAAACGAUAAUCACUAGACGUCGGUCCGGCUUAGCUGGAUCGGUGUCGAAGCUAACGCGUUAAGUGAUUCGCCUGGGGAGUACGGUCGCAAGAUUAAAACUCAAAGGAAUUGACGG
rnacentral:rRNA from 1 species